GUGAAGUAUCACCUAGCCCUAAGGUGGUUCAACAUUUUCUCUGAAAGCGCCAAACGGAAAGAAGCCGAGCGAACAACAGUUUGGCGCUCCCAAAGGAGCGGUAAAUGAUUAGUCGCUUGAUCCAGUCAACGCGGUCAGAGCGUCAAAUCAUUGGUUCCUCAGCUACCCCUUAAUCAAACAUGAUACUCGAUCUCUUUCACUUCUCUUCGUCAUCUUUUUGUUCUCCACAAAACCUAGGUAUUGCAUGUCCAAUCCGUGAGGUUUAAUGAUGCUUUUUGAAGGCAAAUCAUAAGAGGUAGUUGAUUGUGGUUCUUUUAAACCUAUUUUGCGUCCACAAAAUAGAACAAGACCUUGAAGGUAAGUCCACAAGAGAGGAAGAAUGAGUAUUGAAGUUGAGUCGUCGAUAUUCCCUUUGUAGCUUUUUAGACAGAACUGGUUGAAAUUUAUUCAAAGAAUAAGGGGUAGAAGAAGUGGGGGAUACAGGGGAAGUAGGGGGGAAUGGAGAAGUGAGGAGUCAGGGAUUGAGGGAGGAGUGAAAAUUGCAUCACAUAUUUCUGAGUUGGUUGGGGCAUUGUCACAAACAGGUAGAGGGGAGACAACGAAAAGGCUAGGGAUGUCUGAGAUAAUGUCUUCAGAGAAAAUUUCAGAGUUUGGGUUGUAUGAAGCAAUUGGGGGUUCCGAAAAAAUUUCAGAGUUAUGGUCAGGUAGGUCUAGGAUUGAUAAGGAAAAAUUUUCAGAUGGUUGAGAAGUUUUAGGAGGUUGAGUAAAGGGGAGCUUGAUUUAUCAAUUGGUCCAUCUCUGGCCAAGAGAGAUUGGACAAUAGAUUUGGAUAACAUGGGUGAAGAGGCAAAGUCAAUACCUGAACGAGAUCCUAAUUGAAUUAGACGGAGAGCUUCUUGAUUAAUCCAAUUAGAUGUAAUUCGAUCAGCAUUACAUACAUUUGGUACCAAAGAUAUUAACCAACUGGGAGCCGGACAAGGCCCCAAAAUUCCAUCAGAACUAUUCGUCGUCUUGUACACACAGAGCUCUCUAGAGUUCGGUUUCCCAAUUGAUAAAGAUGGUAAGAUAGAAUUAGUGGGUGAUGGUUGCAGCAACAUUGUCUUGGGUGGCGAAGAGAGAGAGACAAAAAGCGAUAACGGUGGGUGAUUUUCAUGAUUAAAGGUUUGAGUUUUUAGAAGUUCAGGAGAUGAUAUGUGGGAUGUAAAUAAUGAGGAUUGGGGUGUUGGGUAUUGAUUGUUAAACGUAACUGAGAGGUGAUCGAGAUUAGACGAAAGAGUAUUUGAGGUUGAAGGAGGGGACUGAGGAUUUUGGCCAGAGGAGGGUGGAUUGUAAUCUGCGGACCGAUUUUCUGUGUUACGAGGGAUUGUAGGGAAAGGGACUGGGCCGUUAAAGGUGUUAUGGUAGGUAAAUGAAUAUGAUGCUGAGUUGAUAAUGGCCCAAGGGGGAGAACAAAACCAAGGCGGGUUUGGUGGAUCCAUGAUAUCCAAUGCGUCCAUAUCUGAGAUAGAAAUUUUAAAAGCUUCUUUUUUUCUAGUACUUUGCGCACAAGCAACAUUAAAAGUCUGAGAGGAUGAUUGAGACUGACCAGGAGAAGCAGAUGGUUGUUGCAGGGAGACGCUAGGUGAAGGAUAUAGUAUCCAGUCCAUUGGAGAAAAUUCGUGUCUGUUGUCUCCCAUGUGAGACCUAAACCUCUUAUUUUUUGUUUUGAUUGUAGACCUCUUGCUUGUCUUUGUUUUAAUGUUGUUUUUGCGUACGUUCAUUGAUGAGGCAUUAAAUGCAUUU